ensembl:lncRNA
GGAUAUACUGGAAAUGGGUUUGUUUUGUACUGCUUCUGUUUCUACCUCAAAACCUCAGUCUUGCAAAAUAAACUUAUAUAAAUAAAGCCUUUUUGGCUUGACAAUAAAUUAUGACAACUGUGUUACACUGCACAUUGAAUAUCCUUUAGGAUAAAGCUGUUGUGAAACAGAAACCUAUAUAACCUCACUCGUAAAGAAGAACAGAGGCAUGCUGUGUUGUGUUGUGUUGUGUUGUGUUGUGUUGUGGAGAAGGAGUUUAGUGAGUUAUGGAUGGAUUUGCUUCUGGGAUGGAGUCGUGUUUUGCGUGCAUUUUGGCUGAACGUGUGCUGGGAAGGUGAAACCACAACGCUGAUAGACCAACAAAACCUAGGCUGCUGUGAUAAAUAAAGAUGAUGAAUUAACAUCAUGUUUUGAGUUAUUUAGUGAGCAGGAUUUGCUGGGGAUGAACUCUGUGGAUGAAGGAAUGAAGAGAGGAGUUACAAGGGGCCAUGGAAAGCUUCAGGGAAAGUGUGAGUGUGAGGCUUAAUAGAAGUUCAGAUCUUCUUCCGAAUGAUCCAGAGCACCACAGGGGAACCUACAGAACCAUCCAGACCUCAUUUAAAGUAGCCCCGAACUCAAAACAUGAUGUUUAAAUCAUGAACUCUUCUUGGAAGCAGAUUCCGAUGAUAUAAACAGUGAAACUACGAACUAGUUUCAUAUUAACAGGGUUUGCGAUGUAUAGCUUCGGACCAAUCACGUCAGAGAUUGGGGUUGUCAUGGUAACAUUACGCUGGUUUAAUUUUCUCCCCGAUUCCCACGCACCAGCUAACUCUCUCCUAUGACAAUAUGCAAACCGAGACGCUGAUACAUGAUCCCUGACUAAUGUGAGAGGGUUUACUAUAAGUUAGCAAGGACAUGGACGGUGCUUUCCUUACUUACUGUAGAAAUUUACGCCCUAUAGAGGAGUUGCAUGAGUCAGUAGCAGCAAUAUUCACGUAUCAGAAAUAGCAAUUAACGAUUUCCAGUUAUGCAGUUAUACACGUAGUUAGACUUUUUUUCUCAUCCUUGGUGACGUACGUCCUUCCUGGGAACAGAGCGCAGACGACAUGGGCAGAGAGAGAGAGACCCUUAAAAGCAGACGUAUGGUCUAUGCUCUGAUUCAGGACUGGACUUCCUUUUUAGGGGCUUGGUAUUUCGUUUGCUGUGAAAGCAUCACGUUGAAAAAAGAAACGAAAAAAACAAACCCCAUUCGACUUUAUUGCCUUUGAGAGCCAGCCAGAGAUGAUGUUGACGAAGAUUUAGAGCUUGAUGGAGGGAUUACAGGACAGACUGGAGAAUGUGUGAAAUACUGUAGCAUCGCACAUGUGAAUAUAGAGUAUGUAUCUCGUUCAUUAAUCCAUCACCAGUAAAUGCAUUAUUUUUAUCAGGCUUUUGGGGAAUCUGGGAAUACUGAGGCAGGAUGGGACGCUGGAUACUGGAGCAUACACACGUAUUCACGCACACCUGGCGAGCACUUCCCUGCCCGCAACAGAGAGAAGAGUCCGUUGGUCAGAUGGCUGAGGGCCUUCAAUCUCUUCCUGGCCUUGGUCCAGCACCACUUGCUGUAGAUAGACUGCAGGUCAGGUGCGCUCAGCUGAUCUCGCCACCUGCUGGAGAGCCACCGAUCCUGCUUUAACCAGGCUGUGAUGCGUCCCAUCAGGAGGCUCUCGAUGGUGCGGGUGUAGAAGUGCCUUAGCACCUUAGAGGGCAGUUUAAAGUCCCUUAAGCAUCGAAGGGACUUUAAACUGCCCUCUAAGGUGCGAAGGCUACAAACUGGCCUACAAACAUGGCCGCCAUGGACCGCAAUUCCCAGAACACUCAUUCAUUCUAAUCACGCACACCUGCAUCCAAUCUCACACACAAUCACAACACAGUUUAAAAGGACUCUCGAGGCGUUCACUCUUUGCGAAGUAUUGAGUGGUAUCACCGUACCGAGCGUUUGUACCCUGUUCCUCGUUUUUUUAUUCGUGUUCUUUGAUCUUGUUUCUUGUUUCUCGUUCUUGAUUCUUGCCUUGCCUCGCCUUGUUUACGCCUGUUUGCAGAUCGCCUGACCCAUUGCCUGUUUUUGACCACGUUAUUGUCUCAUGAUUUGGAUUCGUUUGCCUUCCUCUCUUUAUUAAACGCUCUUAACUGCACUUGCAUCCGUCCUAACCUCCAUUACGUCCAAAACGUGACCGGCGCUCCUCAGGUAGCUCCUCUCCUGCUUUGUGCUGAAAAGCCAAUCCACCUACUGGCAUGGUUUUGCACAGAAAUCCUCAAUAUGCCGAUAUUUGAUAUACUGUAUUGUUUCACAAUACACUUUCCUGAGAUAUUGCAGAUAUUUAGAUGUCUUUUUCUUUAAAAAAAAACAAACAACAAAACAAAACUGGAAUCAGUUACUGUAUUACUGUCAAUUUUUUCACAAACCUUUCUAUCAUGAUACGGGUCACCUUUGAAGAACGUUUGCGUUUAUAUGAGCCCGUUUUCUACAUGGUGCUGACUGAUGACGUGAGCAGCACCGUAUGCAGUAAUGUUCUUUACAUCGCAGGUUUAUCCUUAGACGAUCGUCUUCAUAUAAUCUGACACGGAGAACACUUUAUCGCAUAGUGUGGUAUAGAAUUCACCAACCCAUCGUCAUAAACCAGGAUAAUAACCAUCAUUUCCAAAACAGGAAACUGGGCGUAUUCUUUUUUUCUUCGCCAUGAAGACAGAAAGAUAUAUAAGUUUACUUACAGGCACAUAAUACAGGGGCAGAAACAAGACGUUCAACACGUUCAACCCAGGAGAUGAACCCAGAACAAAAACCAGAGGACCAGAUCAUGACAUCAGAGUUGUUUUUCGAGUGUGUGUGUGUGUUUUUUUGCUAUCACUCUUUGAGACGAUGACCAGUUUUGGGGUAAAAAGUCUCCUCUGUACCCGCUGCACUCUGAAUAACUGCUCCAAACCCUGUUGUACGGUCUAUUUUGCAGGUGACGUCGGGCGGUGCAGUCCGAGAUCUUUUGGAAAUGCCGACCGUCACGUACGGUACAGUGCAAUAUGUGCGAGAUUACCCUGCUCUGAUUUACUUCUCCGCCGUGGCACUCGGAGCUCGUUCCCACUUUAUCUAGGAACGGCUCAUAAUACAGUUUCGAAUAAAGUUCCCGCAUUCUCGAGCAGGUACAGUAUGACAUUGAUCAUAAACAAAUCUUUAACCUUCCAUGGCAUGUCCAUUAACCUAUCACAAAUAAAACAACCCUCUAUGGAAUUCUCCUGAUACAGACGAGCCUGUUUUUUGUCUCUUUGAUGGAGAAGAUGGAGAAGCGGUUGUUCAAGAAUAACGGAUGAGUGUGUCCAUCGCGAGCGUUUACGAACAGGUAGUCUUACCUUAGUAAGACGUGAAAAGCAACUCAUUUCACUAGCCAGAGCUGCUCUACUAACCUUUUAUUUGUGUCUUGUUUUAAAGUGGUUAUUCAUGUGGAUCAGGUGGUUGAGCGGAUUGUCCACUAAUCGUAGGGUUGGCGGUUCGAUUCCCGGCCCACGUGACUCCACGUGACUCCACAUGACUCCAUACGUCGAAGUGUGCUUGGGCAAGACACUGAACCCCGAGUUGCUCCCGAUGACUUGGAUUUCCUCCACCCUGCUCCGAGUGCUGAAAACUGCACCGUGCUCCCACUCGACAAAACUCCUGAACUCUGCGAAACUUAAAGAACUCCCUGUGUCUGACCUGCGGGUCUUUUCACCGCGGAUGAUGGCUGUGUUUAUGUCUGAAAGCAGCAGCGAGCGGCUCUGAGGUCACGACGCUGUUUUUAGCCUCAGCUGAGGUGAGACGUUAGGCAGAAUAACUUAAUAUUUACAAUUUAUUUGCUUUAAAUGCAUCUUAUAGAAACAACAUGGAGAUGUGACCGCAUAAAUAUGUUCGUGCAGCUGCCAGCAUGAACAGGGUUUUGAAAGUUCCCUGCCCUUCACUCGACCUUUAACUCCAUGUAAAAAUAACAGGGGCUUUAAAAAAAAAAAAAAUCCCUUGAAUGUUUGAUUUAUUUGAGAAGUAUGAAAAUGUCAGCAAUAGGAAAAGGACACAGUGUUAAAACUGGGAUUAUUUUUGGCUUCUUUUGGUUUCCUCUAAACCUUUAAAUCUAACAGAGCUACAAGGUCGAUCCAGAUAUUAGUCCAAUUAUCAAUGCAUAUACUAAAUAAACGUUUAGAACCCUUAAGCGUCGAUACUCUGAUUCAACCAUUACAGCUUCUACAGCGCAUGUAGAACUGUUAGCUCGAUAGUUAAGGCGUUGGUCUACUGACCAGCAGGUCGUGAGUUCAGAUCCCAGCUCCUCCAAGCUGUCACUGUUUGGCCCUUGAGCAAGGCCCUCAACAUCUCAGAUGUGUAAGUGAGAUAAAUGUCAUUCGCUCUGGAUAAGGGCGUCUACCAAAUGCCGUAAAAAAUCCGAAAAGGUUUCACGUAUAACCCUUUUAAGAGGAUAAGGACUCGAUUAUUCAGUGAAUUUUCAAAGAACACCUGAAGAAUCGUAUUUAUUUAUUUAUUUAUUUAUUUAUUUAUGUAUUUAUUUAUUAAUUUUUUUACACAUGUACAAAGUACUAAGAACUAAAUAAACAACCUGGCAGGUUCUAGGUCUUACGAAGAAAAUAAAGAGCGAUAAUUUGGAGUUUGUAACACCACACACACACACACACACUUACCCAGUUAACACCCACACUCCUAGAAGUAAGGGUUCUUUAAGGGAUCUUUAAGGGUCUGAUGGAUUUUUCCGAGCUUCUGCUCGUGACUCUUUCUGGUUGGAAAACAUUUUGCUUUAUGGUACUGCUCAGAACAUUUAAGGUUUCGAAUGUGUUUAAGAGUGUGUAUAAAACUUAAAAGUAAUACACCACUAGAGCUGGGCAAUGUGACAAUACGAUAAUUAACGAUGAUGUUUAUUUGAGAUGUUGCAGGUAUGAUUUUUCUACAUUUUUUAAAACAGCAAUAACAAUAAUUUCGAGUAGAAACAGCUUAUCACCCACCCCUGUACAUCACUUAUUACUUCAAACCAUUACUGCCUUUUCUGCAACAUAGACCUUUAAAAAUACACCCAAGUGGAAAAGUACUCUCCUGCACGAAGCCAUGCUUUCGUUUUUGCGGCUUUUCCUCUUGGGGGUCUCAGUAUGUGAUCAGGUGUGCAGGAGGCCUCACUCCGCUCACGUCGCCAUCAUGGUGCUGCCAAGGUAUGUCCUGUUCCCCCGGGUUCCCCAUCCAUCUCUCAGCUCCUGGAGCCAGCACACAUGUGUGUGAGUGUGAGUGUGUGUUCAUAAAGGCACAUCUAAGAAGUCUUACAACCUCGGACUGAAAACGGCUGGGAAAAGGCAGCCGACGCUGAAUGGUGUAGCUCAGAGUUCUACAACUGUGCGUGAGAUGAAAAUUAAAAAAAAAAAAAAAAAAAAUCCUACUCCUGCCCGCUUCUUAAGAAAUUCCUCACGCAGUCCUUUAAAGCGAAAUAAAAUUCUUGCACCGUGGGUUACGGGAGUUCGACGUACGCAGAACGUUGUCAUUUUCUUUAAUCGCAGGUCUAUCGUCAUAUAAUUUGAUGUGGAGAACACUUUAUUGCACAGUUUUUCUAUGUAACAAGUAAUAAUCAUAUCUAAUCAUAAUCCAUUCUAAUUAAUCCACCGCUAAUUAGGCACUUCAAAAUCACGGGAUCAAACCAAACAAAGACGUAAGAUGUGCAUCAUAAAAGUCAUGUGACUUUGCCUCAACCAAUCAUAGGCUGCGGAAAAGUAAAAAUGCCGGAGAUUAAGACGCGCCAGUUUCCCCAGAUAGUGACGAUUUUGUUCUCUUGAAUCAUUUGUUUUAUUCGCAAACGAUUUAUACGAUAUUUCAGCUUUUCACACUUUUUUGCCAGGGAAAUUCGCAACUUGGAUGGAAACAUAGCUAUUGUAAUGCGUUACAAUAGUUAUUAGUGAGGCCAGCAGGGGGCGCUCACCCUGUGGUCUGUGUGGGUCCUAAUGCCCCAGUAUAGUGACGGGGACACUAUACUGUAAAAACAGCACCGUCUUUCAGAUGAGACGUUAAACCGAGGUCCUGACUCUCUGUCUCUGUUUUAAUGACUCUCUGUCGUUAAAAAUCCCAGGACACUUAUUGUAAAAGAGUCGGGGUAGAACCCCGGCGUCCUGGCGAAAUUCCCCCAUUGGUCCUUCUCUAUCAUGGCCACCUAAUAAUCUCCAUCUCUGAAUUGGCUACAUCUCUCUCUGCUCUCCAUUAAUAGCCUACUAGUGCAAACUAGUGGUUGUUGAGGAGACCCCUCCCCCUUCAUACUAUGUAAAGCGCUUUGAGUGUCUAGAAAAAAUUUCCAUAUAAAUGUAACUAACUAACUAUAUUAUAUCAUGUGGAACAAGUCUCAGGAGUGAGUUGCACCGGUUAAACGGCGUAAUUUAGCUGUUGGUUCGUGCAGUUAGCUACAGUUUCACAAUGAGGCGUGAGCAAUUACGUGGGCUUACCUGUGUUGGGACGCCAAAGGGGCAAUAAACGGCUCGGAAUACGUCUUGUCCUUUCAUAAAUACGCAGAUGACUCCACAUGUAGACAUUCAUCACGCUGUGUGAAGCAUAAACAACGUGUCACUAAAGCCUGUGUUAUUCUUACUUUGAACUACAUUCGCAUCUAGGCAAGACGGCUGCCGCGUGUAUCCUGCAUCACUCGGGCAUGUGUUCAGAAGUUAACGCUGACCGGCUACACGGUGCAUUACCGAUGUAAAUGUCGAGGGAGCUGCAGUAGCUGUAGAUGUGACGUCACAUCAGCACCGGCGAGAUUUGUUCAAUAGCCUAGUGUACCGUCUCCGUCGGUCAUGCUGCCGCCGUUUCCACCUACUUCACAAGAUAAACAAUAAAGUCGCCCUCCACGUGUCUGCUGCCGACAUGCAAAAUGACAGGAAGUAGCGGUCGCGGCCGCACGAGUCGGUCACGCCACAACGUGACACGUAACUAUGUCCAAGCGAUGCGUAAAAAAUAUUAAAUAGGCGUUUAUACUUCCUCAAACUGUUGUAUGAAAACAUUCGAAAUAGGCCUUGAUCAUGCCUCAAAGUGACACUUAAAAACAUUUCAAGUUUAUAUCGAUAUAUCAUAUAUGCUGGGGUAAAACGACACAUCGCAGCAUAUUAUAUAGGACUGAAUCAUGCCUUAAGGCUACGACAUGCUAAAUAGGUGCAGAUAGAAGCCUCAAAGUGAUACUGAAAAUAUGUGUCAAAAAAGUCUUAGUCAGGUCACAAUGUGUGAAAUGGGAUCAAACCUGAAGGCCACCCACAUCGGAUGCAGUUGUAGUGAUGGAGGACUGCAUCUAUGCGUUUAUCACUAGGAUAAAUGUCGGAUUGUGACAUUGUUAAAAGAGUAAAUAAGUUAGAGGAUGGACGCACAUUCCUGCCACACCAAACACAGCUGCUCCUGUGUCCUUGCCUAACCCUCCUCGUUUUGUAAUGUAGCUAUAGUAUGUCAUGACCCAAAAUUCCUCUGGACGAUCACCCGAGGCAGGACGACGACCAGAUUCUGAUCGUCAUCCCGGGACGGAGUACGAAGAGGACGCCCUGAGACUGCUUUAAUAACACAACAGACUUUUUGUGAUUGUGAAAUCUUGUGAUUGUGGAUUGUGAAAUUCAGACGUUUGGGGAUUUGAACCGAGACGCGCCCCUGGAUGGAGCAGAAUAACAGUGUAAAUAGGACACCGAUGUUAAAUUAUCUGACAAACGAACGAAAACGGACCUGGGACGCCGGAUCAGGCGGAUAACUUUCACAGCGUGCAGCGGAAUUUUCCAUUGAAAUGAUACAAUCGACGGAGCUCGUUUUUAACCACAGCGAUCGAAUACAAAAGCGUUUAGCGAGCAAGAGCAAGAGUUACUGUUAGCACGCUAAAGCUGAUUAUGUUCCUUUGACAGCACAUCCUGAAGUGUUUUAUAUAUCCUCUUAUAUACCAAAGCAGUUUGCCAACAGUUAAAAUUUCUUAUCUAUUAAAGAGACACAUAAUACUUUUUAUCCAUUUACAGUUACAUUUAAUCUUGUAGAACGUCCAAGAAACAUUAUAACGAUACAUCGGCUGUAAUUAGACUUGGACCAUCCUAUGCUAAGUAGAAUAUUUACUGAGCAGUUUUUCUCCUGCGUUUUCGAUCUCUGGCGAGCGUUUCGGCGUCGCCCCGUGCGAUAUGCGACCUUCAGAACUUGUAUGAAAGUGCUUCUCCAGGUUUUCCUGGGACUUCCUCGAUGCCGUUUAGAUCCCUCUCACUGGCGCCAUCUCACUGCGGUCUUUGGGAUCCGUCUGUUCUCCGCGUGAAGGACGUGGCCGGCCAGUCGGAGUCUACUUCGUAUGACGACGUUGUGGAGUUCGCAUGCGCCACUUCUUCGGAGCACCUCUUCGUCAGUGAUAUUGGUCGUAGUAUCGGAUCUUUAGCAUGCAGCGUAGGCACCUCUGCUGGAAGAUAUCGAGAUUCUUAUUGAUACUCGUUGAUGCCUUCCAAGUCUCGCUGGCGUGGAUGGCUGUAGGGAUCACGAUGGAGGUGAACGGGUGGAGCUUGAUCUUCAGGGAGAUGGAUGGUGAGGACCCUUUCCCUCAGCAUCUUCUCUUUAUUCUCUUACUUGAAGUCAACGAGAUGAAAAAACGUAAGGACUCGAGGACAUUCCAGUUUUAUUCCAGAAGCUACUCGGAAAGAUUCAGUGCUAAUUUGAAUUCUUUUGAGCUUUUCUGAAAACUUUGGAAGGUCCACUGUGAUCAAACGCCCCCUCCAGACACACACACACACACACACACACACACACACCCACCCAAAUCCAAACAAACAACAAAGAGGCAACUGUUAAAUGCUUCUUGGCUAAUUCCUGCUUCUUUCAUAGAUAAUUCAAUAUGUGUACAAGAAGUUACAUUACAAGGACGCUCUAUUUAGCUCCGCCCAUCUCAGACCAGUCAAGGGAAAACACCAGAAAUUGAAGGCCUUGAUAACAGAAGAAUAAUGAAGCUAAUUAUAACACGAAGUGCACAGGAUUUUUUUUUAAAACGACUGCUGUUGAAGCGUCUUUAAACUCUUUCAUUUGUUUGCUUUUCCUCGGCACCAGGGACGUACCAGGACGGACGCCAACUCCCACAUGGUUUCCCUCGUCUCCUGGUCGGUAAACUGUCGCCUCCUCCCAGAUUGGGUUACUCACCACUCAGCACUGUGAUGUCAUUACCAGACUACGAGCCUUUAAUUCUUUGUGUUUAUGGGAUCCUGUGUAUAUAUAUAAAUAUAUAUAAAAACCUAAACUAUACUCUCGUCUUUAAUUAAAGAAUUAGGACUGUCUGCUCGGCCGUGCUGGUUAGAUGGUAUUUUUAGGUACGGCCACAUACGUAACACCACUAAAUCGCUGAAAUAAUAUUUAAGAACGUUAAACCGAGUUUUGGUUUUGAAUCGAUUUAACAAUAAUAACAAAGUAAAAGGACCCGUUCAUGUUUGCACGUCUCCUUCGUUCUCAGACGGCUGCGAAGAUGAAUUAUGUUCGAUAGACGUGAGACGCAUUUGACUUCGGGGAAAAUGAUCCGAAAAUGCUCAAUAAGGUCCAGAAAUGAGCCAAAAACCAUUCCUAUUUGCUAUAAAUUUUUUAAAUUAAAUCGGUGUGUCGUGUGUGAGAGUGUCCCGAAAGGAAAAAGAAAGCCGUGAUAUUAACGUCUGCUUAAAUCAUUUGUUCUUUGUCUUUUACGCGAAGCAUACAGCUGUAUCCAUUACUGGAUAGAAAGCAUACCUAACAAUCGCUCCUUCUCUUUACCUCCCUCU